rnacentral:rRNA from 1 species
UAGGGAAUUUUCCGCAAUGGACGAAAGUCUGACGGAGCAACGCCGCGUGAGCGAGGACGGUCUUCGGAUUGUAAAGCUCUGUUCUCUCGGAAGAGUAUCUUAGAGCUGAGAAGGUUCUAAGAUUCGACGGUACGGGAGGAGAAAGCCCCGGCUAACUACGUGCCAGCAGCCGCGGUAAUACGUAGGGGGCGAGCGUUAUCCGGAAUUAUUGGGCGUAAAGCGCGCGCAGGCGGCUGAUUAAGUCAGGUGUGAAAGGCUGCGGCUCAACCGCAGAGCGGCACCUGAAACUGGUCAGCUUGAGUGCAGGAGAGGGGAGCGGAAUUCCCGGUGUAGCGGUGGAAUGCGUAGAGAUCGGGAGGAACACCAGUGGCGAAGGCGGCUCUCUGGCCUGUAACUGACGCUGAGGCGCGAAAGCGUGGGGGAGCAAACAGGAUUAGAUACCC